UGUCAGGCUACAAGCGAUUUUAAGGUGGAUUUAAUACAUGGUGGCAUAUUUAUAUAACUUCUUAGGGGUUGUUCUAAAGUUUGCAGGUUUGUAGACGACAACCUUUCUAUCUGUGUCUCACUUCCAAUUUUCACACUUGAGUACACUACUCUGUAAUUGUGGUGAGUCCUUCGGAAAAUAUGAUAAGCAGUUGGGCCCAAGAGUGUCAUACAUCGAGAGAAAUAAAUGAGAAAUUGAUAAGUACAGCACACAGGGUUAACUCAGGGGAAGAGGGUGGAUGUGUAAGGUAGUAUUAGGUGUUACAAUGCCAGUCCUGUGUGGAAAAACUCAUGCAUUGAAUUAAACUUUGGGUCUAUAGACGAAUGUUAAUGCAAGACCAAUUAUAACUUAAUUAUCUCAGAAGGUGUGAGAUCACUCUCUUUGUUAGACUUUAGGAAUAAGACAUGGAGGAUGGCAGAGCUCUCUUUGGAGGACUGGGAUAAACCUAUAAAGCUCGGUCUAACCUGACCUGCCAAUCCUGUAUUGUAUUAUAGACCAAACACAGACAUAAAAUAUAAAAAAAAAACUUAAUUUUGAGUCUAGAUUUAGAGAUCAUAAGCUGGCUUCUUUUUCUUUUUCCAAAAACAGGGUACACUUUGCUCUAUUUCUCUCUCUGGAUAUCAAGAAAGCCUGCUGCUUAGAUCUUACUGCAGGAAGGAGGAACAUAAGGAGUUAUAAGCCCUGAAUAGAAACUUGAUUGCAUCUCAUUCAUCCGGUCUUCCCAGGGGACAGUCGAUUCUAGCAGGACAGCUUGCCUUGCAGUUUCCGACAUCAAGACCAUUAUCUUGCCUGCGUGUGGCCUCUGCAGUGGUGUCGGGGGAACUUGCCAACCUUCAGCUAACAGUCCGGGAGGUGGCAGGAACCCUACUUGACGAUCUGGCGUGCUUUUCCCCUUUUUUUGACAAAGCCAAUUGCCAAUCCGUGUUGGGUGCAGUUCUUUGCUGUGCAGAUGGCAUCUUCUAUUGCCCUCAGCACUUGGUCGCGAACUCUCUUUCUGUCAGAGACCAGUGGAAAUGUUUGUGUGGACUGGGGAGAAAAUCUGACUGUUAAUUGAUCUGCAGUGGCUCGGCCCUCUAGAGCUCUGAUCGAAUAACAAGUUUAGUUAGGAGUGUAACUUAAUCAAUGUCUUUAUAGGACUGUUAACUCGACUAAUAGAUGGAUAUUGUUCCAGGAACCACCAUGCAUGCAUUGUUAACACAUUCUCACUUCUAAAUACUGCAGCUUGGUCAGUGGCCCUCCACUAUAGGUGUCCCUCUAUCAUUUCCAGAGGACUCCGCAGUCAAGUUAGAUACAAUAAACAUGUAAUAUCCACAAUAUCCGGAGUUGGAGUUAGUUAGCUAAACUUUCAAAAUAAAGCUUGCAGGUUUAAUGUUAUGAAACAGUCGCAUUUUCCUUUGGUUUAGGCACAAAAAGUACCUACUUAGGUUGUAAAGGUUGUAAGUUACCUACCUAUGUGAUUAAAACAGAACUUUCGUAAAGUACCUGACAUAAAUUUUACGCAAUAAACAAACAGUUUAAACUCCUGUGUUUGUUCGAACCAUCCAGUCACUCCACGCCACUACAUUUACUUUAAUGGCGGGCACGUCCAGAUAAGAUGCUCGAGGGAUACCUCCAGGGUCAUAUUUUGAAGGGGCGGGCCAAUGAUCAAGCUGUGGUAUUUGAUGAUUUGGGGAGUAAGACCAGGUUGGCAUUGUUGGCAUCCUGAAAACUAAUUUCCAAUUCAUCUGAGCAAAGCUGUAUUCAGAUUUUAGUCCAGCUAACCAGAGACACAUGACCUUUAGGAUAAAUAUUAUGGUUAAACCUGGGC
ensembl:lncRNA